UGAAGGCAAUUCACCUGUGCUGUUGGAAGGGGUGGAGCCUGGCUUCACCUCUCCUAGACCCAGUUAAGAGCUGACUACCGAUAGGAUAGGAUCUCUUCUGGAGAAUCCUUUUCUGGAGUUUUGUAGUGUGCAGAUGUGGAUUAAAUAUACCUGUCCUAGCAGAAACAUCCACUGGGAGUGGGGAAUAAGUGAAUGACUGCCUGGCAGAAAGCAUACUGCCCUUUGAAGAGACUGAGUGCAAACAAAGAGGCAAGGCAG